rnacentral:rRNA from 1 species
UACGUAGGGUGCGAGCGUUAAUCGGAAUUACUGGGCGUAAAGUGUGCGCAGGCGGCAGAGCAAGUCGAGUGUGAAAGCCCCCGGGCUUAACUUGGGAAUUGCGCUCGAAACUACUUUGCUGGAGUGUGGCAGAGGAAGGUGGAAUUCCACGUGUAGCGGUGAAAUGCGUAGAGAUGUGGAGGAACACCAAUGGCGAAGGCAGCCUUCUGGGCCAACACUGACGCUCAUGCACGAAAGCGUGGGGAGCAAACAGG